AAAGGAAUUGACGGGGGCCCGCACAAGCAGCGGAGCAUGUUGUUUAAUUCGAUGCAACGCGAAGAACCUUACCAGGUCUUGACAUCGAUCUAAACUCUAAGAGAUUAGAGGUCCCUUCGGGGGAGAGAAGACAGGUGGUGCAUGGUUGUCGUCAGCUCGUGUCGUGAGAUGUUGGGUUAAGUCCCGCAACGAGCGCAACCCUUAUGAUCAGUUACUAACGGGUAAAGCCGAGGACUCUGAUAAGACUGCCGGGGACAACUCGGAGGAAGGUGGGGACGACGUCAAAUCAUCAUGCCCCUUAUGACCUGGGCUACAAACGUGCUACAAUGGUGACUACAAAGAGAAGCGAACAUGUGAGUGCAAGCGGAUCUCAAAAAAGUCAUCUCAGUUCGGAUUGUGGGCUGCAACCCGCCCACAUGAAGUUGGAGUUGCUAGUAAUCGCGAAUCAGAAUGUCGCGGUGAAUACGUUCCCGGGCCUUGUACACACCGCCCGU
rnacentral:rRNA from 1 species